AGUGAACGCUGGCGGUAGGCCUAACACAUGCAAGUCGAACGGCAGCACAGUAAGAGCCUGCUCUUACGGGUGGCGAGUGGCGGACGGGUGAGGAAUACAUCGGAAUCUACUUUUUCGUGGGGGAUAACGUAGGGAAACUUACGCUAAUACCGCAUACGACCUACGGGUGAAAGCAGGGGAUCUUCGGACCUUGCGCGAUUGAAUGAGCCGAUGUCGGAUUAGCUAGUUGGCGGGGUAAAGGCCCACCAAGGCGACGAUCCGUAGCUGGUCUGAGAGGAUGAUCAGCCACACUGGAACUGAGACACGGUCCAGACUCCUACGGGAGGCAGCAGUGGGGAAUAUUGGACAGUGGGCGCAAGCCUGAUCCAGCCAUACCGCGUGGGUGAAGAAGGCCUUCGGGUUGUAAAGCCCUUUUGUUGGGAAAGAAAAGCAGCAGGUUAAUACCCCGCUGUUCUGACGGUACCCAAAGAAUAAGCACCGGCUAACUUCGUG
rnacentral:rRNA from 1 species